GCACCCAUGGGAGCGUAUUUCCGAUAUUUAUCCUAAUGCCUUGAAAUUUUAAGUCAAUACGGGCCUUUAGAAGUAAUAAAAAGGGUAUCACAGCAGGUUAGGAGACUAAGAUACUUUUCGGUGGUGCUGUUUUGAAAAGGUCCAUCAUCAAGAAUGGUCUUUAGUCAGUCACAUCGGAAACCUCACUGCCAGUCCUCGUAUCCCAGAGAUCCAUCUGUUCUGCACAGGUGGUGGCAUUGGCAGCGGCCAACCAUCCUCAUCCUUGCCCAAGUGCCAGGUGCAGUGGAGCAGAGAGGACCCAGCAGCCCAAAUUCAGCCACUGGUUUAGCUUCAAAAAAUGCUUUUGUUAACAAUUUUGUAUUGUUAUUUUUGUGUGUGUGCUUCAAAAUGAUCAUUGCUAUUUUAAAUUAUCCCGGGGGGAGUAUGUGUUCUUACCUGUGCCCAGUAGGACCACUAGGGACAUUGAGACUCAGAAGGAAAAUACAAGUGAGGACUGGCGCCUAUGUAAGACUGCAAGCCUCUGUGGCCAAAUGUGAAAGCUCCCAAAGCGCCAAGUGCAAACGUGGAGACAUCAGAGCAUAGGAAUGAUAGCAUUCCUCCUGAGUGCUCAGUUGUUAAGAGUACAUGCAUAUGAGAUGUCUGAUUAGACCUGAUAUUCUUUCUUUAUUCCCUAAAUCUAUCAUAUUUUUAAAUGUUUACAUAUGUAAUGUGCAAGUAGAUACCCGUGUGUGUGUGUGUGUGUGUGUGUGUUUACAUAUUUUUAAUAUACAUAUUCAGCUUCUAACUUCAGGUGGUAAGUUUGGCAACUAUGCUUUUGUAAAGGCAAUAGCCAUUUUUCACAGGUCAUGUGAUUGCAUCAGGGGUGACUUUUGGAUGAAAUGAUAAACCCUAAGUGACCAGGACAAUUUCUGGGCCAUUCAUUAGAGAAAGGGGGCAUUUGAAAGCUUGUAAUAGGCUCUUUUUGGCCCAUUCUGCAAUAUAAUUUUCAGCAUGAGCUCAGCAUGGAGACCAUAAUUUUGAAAGGACACAAUCUCAGCGUACAGGGAAAGGAGAUAACCUUUGAAGUACAUUCCUCUGAUUUUACAUAAUCCUGAAGAUGGUUUUAAAGAUAAUCAGGUUUCAGUAAAGGAUCAGCACCCACACAACAGGGUUGGGAAACUAUGGUCCACAGGCCAGAACUAGUACAACAUGUGUUUUCCAAAAAAAAAAGUGUUAUUGGAACA